UUGAAAGGGAAACGAUUGAAGUCAGUCAUGCUAGUGAGGAAUCAACUUGGUGGAAUCAUCUUCCUUGUGUACUUUCUCACUUUGGCAAGUUAGCAUCAAUUUUAAUUGUCAUCAAAUAAUUAAGGGAAUGUGUCUCACCUUCGGGUGAGUGUUUAUAGACCUUGAUCAAUGUGGCGAUUGAGAUUGAGGAUUGCAGCGAAUGCUCUCGGGCUAGUCACCUGUCUCCUGGCUGUUACCUUACUUUCGACAGCUUUGCUGACGCUUGUGAGUAUUUUUCGGUCUAGGUGAUAGAAUGAACAUAAAUUCGUUAAGGAUGUUGACGUA
rnacentral:rRNA from 1 species